rnacentral:tmRNA from 1 species
GGGGAUGUCAUGGUUUCGACAGGUAUUGUUCGAACUUUUGACGCGUCAGGAAGGUUGCGUCUUCCUAAAAACGCUACAGUUAAAUAUAACUGCAAACAACCAAAACAACACUUUUGCUUUAGCAGCUUAAUAACCUGCUAGCAAAGAUCAGCCUGUCAUCGCCCAUGUGCCAGUAGCUGGUCUCAUUAUCAGUGGGAUACAUCGUCGCUUUCCGCCUGUAAGCAACGAGAGAGAUUAUCAGGCUCGCAACAGUUCACGCCUGUUUAUCGGCUAAACUCGCGCUAAAUUCAAAUAGAUAAACUAUUGGCGUAGACUUGAUUGUGGCGAGAUAUUUGGACAGGGGUUCGACUCCCCUCAUCUCCAUUC